CAUUGCUGGAACGCGCUUCGGCGCACCCAGAAACCCUUUGUGAACUUAUACCUACUGUUGCCUCGGCGCAGGCCGGCCUUUUGUGACAAAGGCCCCCUGGAGACAGGGAGCAGCCCGCCGGCGGCCAACUAAACUCUUGUUUCUUUAGUGAAUCUCUGAGUAAAAAACAUAAAUGAAUCAAAACUUUCAACAACGGAUCUCUUGGUUCUGGCAUCGAUGAAGAACGCAGCGAAAUGCGAUAAGUAAUGUGAAUUGCAGAAUUCAGUGAAUCAUCGAAUCUUUGAACGCACAUUGCGCCCUCUGGUAUUCCGGAGGGCAUGCCUGUUCGAGCGUCAUUUCAACCCUCAAGCCUGGCUUGGUGAUGGGGCACUGCUCUCUAGCGGGAGCAGGCCCUGAAAUCUAGUGGCGAGCUCGCUAGGACCCCGAGCGUAGUAGUUAUAUCUCGUUCUGGAAGGCCCUGGCGGUGCCCUGCCGUUAAACCCCCAACUUCUGAAAAUUGAC
rnacentral:rRNA from 1 species